AUAAGAGAGGCCUGGGGGAGCCCAGCUCUCUUGUGAUUCAGGAGACAGAACUCUGGGACAUCUCCACCAUGGCCUGGAUCCCUCUCCUUCUCACCCUUCUGUCUGUCUGCACAGGUUCCAUGGCCUCCUAUGUACUGACACAGCCACCCUCAGUGUCAGUGACUCCAGGUCAGACAGCUAUAAUCACCUGCUCUGGAGACAAACUCUCUGAAAAAUAUAUUCAUUGGUACCAGCAGAAGUCUGCUCAGUCCCCUGUACUGGUGAUUUAUGAGGACAGUGAGAGGCCUUCAGGGAUCCCUGACCGAUUCUCUGGCUCCAGCUCAGGGAACACAGCCACCCUGACUAUCAGCAGGGUCCAGGCUGAAGAUGAGGCUGAUUAUUACUGUCAAAGGUGGGACAGCAAUGCUAAAGCACACAGUGUUUCAGGCAGAUGGAGAAGUGAGACACAAACACUUUCCUUGUCUGUGUCACAUUCUUAUAGUCUUCAGGAGGACUGGCAGUAA